rnacentral:lncRNA from 1 species
GUGAGUGAUUACCAUGUUUUGGCAAUGUUCUAGUCACUCUACAAACUACGCAUUACAUUAUCUCAUUUAAUCCACAUAAGGGCACCAUUGCUACUCUGUUUCAUAGAUGGGAAACUGAGGUCUGGAGAGGUAAACUUGGCAGUAGACAUAGAUACCAAAUAAUAUUUGAAGCCAGGCCUGUCUAAUUUAUAAUCCUUGAUUCUUUGAAUUAGACCAUCUUACUUUCCACAGAUUCUGCAAUGUAUGAAAAUUUAUACUGUGGAUUUUUUCCUUUGAGCUUCUCUUUGGAAUGAUGUUUGCUAUGCAUUUUAGUGAAAAAUGUUCCAAAGGAGCAAAUGAAUUCACUAUGGAGAGGCUGGUGAAGGCAGCCACUACAAAGGAAAAAAACCAUGUUGAAAUUGUUAAUGGAUGAGAGUCAAGCACCAUCCAUCACUCUGCUCACUUGCAAAGCAAACAUCAGCCUGCAAGCCAAAGUGCGCUGUCCUCCUCCUUUGCAUUUUAGGGGUCUGUGGAGUUGACUCUGAAUCUUUUUAUGCUACAAGUCACAUGGACAAGAAUGGGAAGUGUGCUUCACACACGCCCCUCCUUCCCCAAUCUGACGUGGAACUGAAAGCGUGAAGAGGCUAGUGGGUCCUGCCAAACGUGUGCCCACCUCAUGAAUUCCAGACACAGAAGAGAGAAUGCUGCAUUGGGGAGAAAGAACUGGAAGCAAAAGGCCACUAAUGGUUGGGUGCCUUUUAAAUUACAUCCAGUACUUAGGUCUGACCAAUGACUUCAGUUUCUCCUGCUUUUGGGGAGGUAGUAAUGGGUUAUGAGAGAAAGGAGUGGUAAAGGCAGAAUUUUCCUUCUCUUAGGGCUGAUGUAUAAAAACAGGAUGAGAAAAUAACACACUAGUUACAGUGGAAGAAAGGACAACAAAAACAAACCAUACCUCCACUGGUGGAUUGGUCCCCUUCUGCUAAAGUGGUAAUUCAAAGAGAAAUGUUUAAAACCGAAGGACUUUAGGAUGAUAUAAAGUAGACAGGCCCAGCUGUGGUUCUAUAUGUGGGAACAAUCUAAAGGAAAUAAG